rnacentral:lncRNA from 1 species
GACUGCAAAACUAUUGUUAUGGCUAAUCAUUUAUCAUUGAUUCUAAUUUUGUAGUGUGUUUAAUGGCUGCAUCAUCUCAAAGCUGUGGUGUUUGUGACCUCCGUCACAUCACAAAACCAUGCAUAGUCUGGUGUACAGAAUGUGACGAGGGACUAUGUUCAGAAUGCAAGGAACAUCAUAGUUUGUCUAAGUCAUCGAGAAGCCACAGUGUGAUACCUAUUGCCGAAUACCAGAAACUGACAGUGGAUGUACUGAAAAUUACUCAGUAUUGUACCAGUCACGAUAAAAAAUAUCAAUUAUAUUGCCAGAAGCAUGAAUGUCCCUGCUGCAGCACAUGUAUCGUGGAAUGUCACAAAGAGUGCCGGGAAAUUGUCGAG